rnacentral:rRNA from 2 species
UUAAGCGACUAAGCGUACACGGUGGAUGCCCUGGCAGUCAGAGGCGAUGAAGGACGUGCUAAUCUGCGAUAAGCGUCGGUGAGGUGAUAUGAACCGUUAUAACCGGCGAUUUCCGAAUGGGGAAACCCAGUGUGUUUCGACACACUAUCAUUAACUGAAUCCAUAGGUUAAUGAGGCGAACCGGGGGAACUGAAACAUCUAAGUACCCCGAGGAAAAGAAAUCAACCGAGAUUCCCCCAGUAGCGGCGAGCGAACGGGGAGGAGCCCAGAGCCUGAAUCAGUGUGUGUGUUAGUGGAAGCGUCUGGAAAGGCGUGCGAUACAGGGUGACAGCCCCGUACACAAAAAUGCACAUAUUGUGAGCUCGAUGAGUAGGGCGGGACACGUGGUAUCCUGUCUGAAUAUGGGGGGACCAUCCUCCAAGGCUAAAUACUCCUGACUGACCGAUAGUGAACCAGUACCGUGAGGGAAAGGCGAAAAGAACCCCGGCGAGGGGAGUGAAAAAGAACCUGAAACCGUGUACGUACAAGCAGUGGGAGCCUCUUAAUGGGGUGACUGCGUACCUUUUGUAUAAUGGGUCAGCGACUUAUAUUCUGUAGCAAGGUUAACCGAAUAGGGGAGCCGAAGGGAAACCGAGUCUUAACUGGGCGUUAAGUUGCAGGGUAUAGACCCGAAACCCGGUGAUCUAGCCAUGGGCAGGUUGAAGGUUGGGUAACACUAACUGGAGGACCGAACCGACUAAUGUUGAAAAAUUAGCGGAUGACUUGUGGCUGGGGGUGAAAGGCCAAUCAAACCGGGAGAUAGCUGGUUCUCCCCGAAAGCUAUUUAGGUAGCGCCUCGUGAAUUCAUCUCCGGGGGUAGAGCACUGUUUCGGCAAGGGGGUCAUCCCGACUUACCAACCCGAUGCAAACUGCGAAUACCGGAGAAUGUUAUCACGGGAGACACACGGCGGGUGCUAACGUCCGUCGUGAAGAGGGAAACAACCCAGACCGCCAGCUAAGGUCCCAAAGUCAUGGUUAAGUGGGAAACGAUGUGGGAAGGCCCAGACAGCCAGGAUGUUGGCUUAGAAGCAGCCAUCAUUUAAAGAAAGCGUAAUAGCUCACUGGUCGAGUCGGCCUGCGCGGAAGAUGUAACGGGGCUAAACCAUGCACCGAAGCUGCGGCAGCGACACUAUGUGUUGUUGGGUAGGGGAGCGUUCUGUAAGCCUGUGAAGGUGGCCUGUGAGGGUUGCUGGAGGUAUCAGAAGUGCGAAUGCUGACAUAAGUAACGAUAAAGCGGGUGAAAAGCCCGCUCGCCGGAAGACCAAGGGUUCCUGUCCAACGUUAAUCGGGGCAGGGUGAGUCGACCCCUAAGGCGAGGCCGAAAGGCGUAGUCGAUGGGAAACAGGUUAAUAUUCCUGUACUUGGUGUUACUGCGAAGGGGGGACGGAGAAGGCUAUGUUGGCCGGGCGACGGUUGUCCCGGUUUAAGCGUGUAGGCUGGUUUUCCAGGCAAAUCCGGAAAACCAAGGCUGAGGCGUGAUGACGAGGCACUACGGUGCUGAAGCGACAAAUGCCCUGCUUCCAGGAAAAGCCUCUAAGCAUCAGGUAACAUCAAAUCGUACCCCAAACCGACACAGGUGGUCAGGUAGAGAAUACCAAGGCGCUUGAGAGAACUCGGGUGAAGGAACUAGGCAAAAUGGUGCCGUAACUUCGGGAGAAGGCACGCUGAUAUGUAGGUGAAGCGACUUGCUCGUGGAGCUGAAAUCAGUCGAAGAUACCAGCUGGCUGCAACUGUUUAUUAAAAACACAGCACUGUGCAAACACGAAAGUGGACGUAUACGGUGUGACGCCUGCCCGGUGCCGGAAGGUUAAUUGAUGGGGUUAGCGGUAACGCGAAGCUCUUGAUCGAAGCCCCGGUAAACGGCGGCCGUAACUAUAACGGUCCUAAGGUAGCGAAAUUCCUUGUCGGGUAAGUUCCGACCUGCACGAAUGGCGUAAUGAUGGCCAGGCUGUCUCCACCCGAGACUCAGUGAAAUUGAACUCGCUGUGAAGAUGCAGUGUACCCGCGGCAAGACGGAAAGACCCCGUGAACCUUUACUAUAGCUUGACACUGAACAUUGAGCCUUGAUGUGUAGGAUAGGUGGGAGGCUUUGAAGUGUGGACGCCAGUCUGCAUGGAGCCGACCUUGAAAUACCACCCUUUAAUGUUUGAUGUUCUAACGUUGGCCCGUAAUCCGGGUUGCGGACAGUGUCUGGUGGGUAGUUUGACUGGGGCGGUCUCCUCCUAAAGAGUAACGGAGGAGCACGAAGGUUGGCUAAUCCUGGUCGGACAUCAGGAGGUUAGUGCAAUGGCAUAAGCCAGCUUGACUGCGAGCGUGACGGCGCGAGCAGGUGCGAAAGCAGGUCAUAGUGAUCCGGUGGUUCUGAAUGGAAGGGCCAUCGCUCAACGGAUAAAAGGUACUCCGGGGAUAACAGGCUGAUACCGCCCAAGAGUUCAUAUCGACGGCGGUGUUUGGCACCUCGAUGUCGGCUCAUCACAUCCUGGGGCUGAAGUAGGUCCCAAGGGUAUGGCUGUUCGCCAUUUAAAGUGGUACGCGAGCUGGGUUUAGAACGUCGUGAGACAGUUCGGUCCCUAUCUGCCGUGGGCGCUGGAGAACUGAGGGGGGCUGCUCCUAGUACGAGAGGACCGGAGUGGACGCAUCACUGGUGUUCGGGUUGUCAUGCCAAUGGCACUGCCCGGUAGCUAAAUGCGGAAGAGAUAAGUGCUGAAAGCAUCUAAGCACGAAACUUGCCCCGAGAUGAGUUCUCCCUGACUCCUUGAGGGUCCUGAAGGAACGUUGAAGACGACGACGUUGAUAGGCCGGGUGUGUAAGCGCAGCGAUGCGUUGAGCUAACCGGUACUAAUGAACCGUGAGGCUUAAC